AAUAAGCUUUAUCUCUUUCAUUCUUUUCAUUUUCCAAAGUCGAACCACCAUUAGAGGACCUUGAAGCUUCGGCUUUAAUUUUCUUCUUGCAUGUAAGUGAUUUUCCUACCCGUUUCUUGUAAUUUUUAUGUUUUUGAUAUUAUUGCAACUAGGUUGAAGAAAAUAAGCUUCAUCUCUUUCAUUCUUUUCAUUUUCCAAAGUCGAACCACCAUUAGAGGACCUUAAAGCUUCGGCUUUAAUUUUCUUCUUGCAUGUUAUAUUGCGCGCGGUACGGGAUUGACUUGUGAUGAGAUGUUGAUUAUUGACUUGUUACUUUCCACUGAAUAUAUCGAACUCCAACAUUUGUUGCGGACUAUCGUGUUAUAUUUAUAGUGAUUUUGGUGUGUUACCGGGGGCGGAUGUAAAGCCUUCGGGCUUGGCACUUAAUGCCCAGGUGUGUUAUCGGUGGGUUUGGCUCGGUUGGGCGUUCUGGUGUAUUCUAGAUGGAUAACUGUGUAUCCAUAUUUGUUAUACCGUUCAUCGGGCUAAAAUUUUAAUGGCUAAAUAAUUUAAUGAUGAUAGGUAACUGAUAUUUGGUUAUGAUUUCUUGUGAAAGACUUGUACAUGUAUUUAUGGUUUCCGAUAUUUUAUCAUGACUUGAUAAUGGUUGAUAGUGUAUAAAUGAGGUGAUUAAAUGACUUGUAUUUAUGAAACUCACCUGUUGAAUGGUUGUGAUUGACAGGGUUAAUGUUAGCUAUUGAUUUUGUUAAUUAUAAAACUGUGGUUAUGCGGUAAGUUAUAACGUUUCAACCUGUGAACUUACUAAGCUUGUAAAAGCUUACUUGUGUUGUUUUCUUGAUUUCUUGUAGAUCUUGUUUUGUAGAACCGAACAAUUGGAUUAAGUGGAAGAUUACACUAUCCAGCUAUCUUCAGUAGACUUUGAAUAUGUUUACUUUGGAAUAUGUGACAUGUAAUAGGAGUAAUUUGUAAUUUGUAUAUAAGUGUUCAUUAUAAGUGGCAUAUUUCGUACUUGUUUAUAAGUUGAUUGUUUUUGGCUAACAAUGUGGUUGAUCAUAGCUUGAUUUAGAUAUUUGACUGUGAUAUUGAAAUUGAUAUGUGGUGGAUUUAACUUGAUGGCAUGAAAUGUAAAAGGUGUAUUUUGUA